rnacentral:rRNA from 1 species
GACGAACGCUGGCGGCGUGCUUAACACAUGCAAGUCGAACGGAAAGGCCCUGCUUUUGUGGGGUGCUCGAGUGGCGAACGGGUGAGUAACACGUGAGUAACCUGCCCUUGACUUUGGGAUAACUUCAGGAAACUGGGGCUACUACCGGAUAGGAGCUCCUGUUGCAUGGUGGGGGUUGGAAAGUUUCGGCGGGUGGGGAUGGACUCGCGGCUUAUCAGCUUGUUGGUGGGGUAGUGGCAUACCAAGGCAUGGACGGGUAGGCGGCCUGGGAGGGUGACCGGCCACAUUGGGACUGAGAUACGGACCAGACUCCUACGGGAGGCAGCAGUGGGGAGUAUUGCACAAUGGGCGGAAGCCUGAUGCAGCAGCGCCGCGUGCGGGAUGACGGCCUUCGGGCUGUAAACCGCUUUCGCCUGUGACGAAGCGUGAGUGACGGUAAUGGGUAAAGAAGCACCGGCUAACUACGUG